rnacentral:rRNA from 1 species
UACGAAGGGGGCUAGCGUUGCUCGGAAUCACUGGGCGUAAAGGGUGCGUAGGCGGGUCUUUAAGUCAGGGGUGAAAUCCUGGAGCUCAACUCCAGAACUGCCUUUGAUACUGAGGAUCUUGAGUUCGGGAGAGGUGAGUGGAACUGCGAGUGUAGAGGUGAAAUUCGUAAAUAUUCGCAAGAACACCAGUGGCGAAGGCGACUACCUGGCCUGUUCUUGACGCUGAGGCGCGAAAGCUAGGGGAGCAAACGGG